rnacentral:tRNA from 1 species
ACCUUGGUGGUAUAUUGGUAAUUACGCCUAUUUUUUAUAUAGGAGAAUGGGGUUCGAUUCCCUGCUAGGGUC